AGAAUAGUAAAUCUCCGAGCCAGAAUGACCUAAAGAGCAAAUCCAUGGUCACUGGACAGGGCCUUAGGUCCUCAGGGUGUUCCCGGAAACGGGUAGGCCUUCCAUUUUGAAAAGGAGUAGCAAGUAUUAGACUG
rnacentral:ncRNA from 2 species